GGGGAGCGCUGUGGCUUGGCUCCAUCCUGCCCUCACUCCUUGGGGCGUGCGGAGCUGUGGUUACAGCUUUUCCCGUAAGAAAAAUCAGAUUUGGGUCCAAAGACGCUUGGGAGCAUGGGAGAGAGGAGGGUGUUUGGUGCGCAGAGCGGGGCCAGCGGGGAGAAAGCCGGGAGGUGACGGAAGCAAGGCGUAAAAAUAGAGAGGAUGAAAGAGGGCACAAAAGGCAACGACAAGGACAGCAAGUAAAAACCCAUCCAAAAACAAGGGCAAACUUGUCUGCUUCCGUGGGUUAGUCACAGUGAAAACAUUUGGAUUUCAUAACUUGUUCCAGCCUAGGAAAAAUACCCAGGUUGGGCAGCGAGGGCCUGGCCGGGUCCGUGCCGGUGGCGCUGCGGCACCGAGGGGACCUGUGGCACCAAACCCCCGGUGCUGCUGGAGUUGAGCCUCAAGAUUUGGCUUUGGGAGAUAAAUUCAUCCCUCUCGCCCUGUUUAGGGACGGGGAAGGGUGGGUGAGAGAACAGAGCAUCCUCCUUUUUAGUCUGAUAACCUUUCCUUCCAUCCUUCCAGGCUCCCCGUGGAUAUCGCUGGGAAUUCAGAUGGGUGCCUGGGGAGGGAGAGAGAAAUGGGUGGCCCGAAGGCACAGACUCCGUCCUCUUGUCUUCCCACAUGAUGAAAAGUUUUCCUGAAGGCAGAGAGCCGCGACACAGCGCCGGGUGCUGCUUUGUGAGCGGGUGGUGCUGGGGCUUGGUGGCGCGGGUGGGCGCAGGGCAUUGCGCCCUGGUGGGAUGUGCUGGAGAAAUGCGGGGGAAAGCCCCCAGGAGCUGCUGCUGCACGCAGGAUGAUGGAAAUCUGGGCAAGCAUCUGGAAAGGGCGCUCUCAGCACAGGGUCUCCCCUUUCCAUGGGAUCCAUUAACCAAACCAUACGGGUACGUGCCUGGGGUCCCCCCCCACGACUUGCUGGGCUCAGCAGCACCGUGAGCACCGGUAAUAAACCCAAGCAUUGCCGUGGGGCUCAGCAUCCAGAGCAUGUUUUUCUCAGCAAAACACACCUGGAGAAGGGUCUGAGUGCUGCAGCCCCUGAAGCUGAACACAGAAACAAGGCAUUAUUUCACAAGGAAACGCCUGAGGGAACCCAGUGGGUGACAGGGAGCCCUGCCGGGUUACGGCACAGGGGAUGCAAUUUCCCUCCUGGCUCAAUGAGGACGGGCACACACAACCCCCCCCUUGCUUUCUGCAGUGAAUAUUUGCCUGAACUGAGGGUGGUGCCCUGCCACCACUGGUGCACAGGACCCAGCCCCGGCACCGCGCCGCAGCCCAGAUGUGUUUUUAAUGAGCAGGAUGAAAACGGGGAGCUGCGCGGCCGUCUGCCUGCCUUGUGAACUUUGGGUGACCCCCUGCAGCUCCUGGGGGGCCCCGGGGCAGCAUCCCAGCCCCGAGAGGAUUUGGGAAGAGCAGGGGCCAGGGGCACGGAAACAAGCCCUGCCUGCCAGCGCCGUUUCCUAAUCCCGCAGACCGACAAUGUGAUGGCUAAACCAGUGCUGAGCAGACAGCAUCCAAGCUGACCUUUGUGGAGACAAGCAACAACAAC